GAGGGUCUUUUAUCUCCUUUUAAGAGGAUAAAGAGAAGUUGAAGGGUGCUUGUGGCAGGGUCAAAGCCAACUGAGGUUGCCCAAAAGCUCUGGAGGGAAGCGAGAGUUAACUUUUGAGGGAUGGAAUCGCCCCUUCCUGGAGACCCUGUCGGCUGUCUGAACUGGCCUGGUUACUCUCCUAAUCUGCAAGGGCAUUUGAAAUAGAUCAUGAGAGGUAGCACAGCAAUUUUCAUUCCAUCAUAUCAGGUGAAAUUGCUGUCUCUGGAAAAGAAAAGAAAAUUUAUAUCUGGUAUGAAAUCUUCCAUCGUUUAGAGCAAGUAUCAAUCUUUACUUUCAAUCCAUUUGCCACAGUCAGCCAGCAUCACUCAAAACAAAUGAAGCUGUUCUGUAAAUUCUUCACAGUGUAAAAUGAACUCUUUAACUUAUUGCUGGGCAUUAAAAUGAACUUUCCAAUAAAAAUACCGACUAGGUAUCCAUUGUAAGCCUCCAAAAAAGGUUUC
rnacentral:sRNA from 1 species